UCCCACCAACGCUGUGAGUAUAAUCUGUCUGUAGAGUCUAUCACUUGGGUGCAACUGCCCCUCUUAACGUGACCUGUGUGUGUGUGUGACACAUUUCUGCUUUGUUCCUCCUGCAGAACAGCUAAUGGUGCUUUCUGAUUAUUAGAGACCGAGUUUCACCUGGAAAGGAUGCCAAGUUAAUUGAUCUGUAAUUCCCCUUUUGGAAGAGAAGCGUGAUGUUUUCCCUCUGCCAGUCACCAGGGCUUCCUCAGUUCUCCAGGAGCACUUGAGUAUAAUGGAUAAUGGGCCUAAGAGUUUUUCAGCUAAUUCCUUUAAUACCCUUGGGUACAGACAACGAUGGGUCUACCCACAUGCUGAAAGAUGGAGUAAAAGGAGGUCAUGAAGAUUUCAGUGAUACCAUACUCCCCUGCAGGGGGAGGGAUUAAGAGGGUUACAGAACAGAUUUACAAGCCCUGGAGAGAGUGAGAGAACACAAGGUGAAUGCACCUUUGCAAUCAUUAAUCUAAACUGCCUUCACAUGUGCAGUCUCACUGAAACUUGGGCAAGGACAGUUUGAGCCACUGUGAUAUCAGUACCAGGUGGGAUUUUUUGGAAUAGAUCAGUG